GAUGAACGCUGGCGGCGUGCUUAAUACAUGCAAGUCGAACGGAAAGGCCCUGCUUUUGUGGGUUUCUCGUUUGCGGAACGGGUGUGUAUCACGUGUGUAUCCUGCACUUGUCUUUGUGAUAACUUCAGGAAACUGGGGCUAUUAUCGGAUAGGAGCUCCUGCUGCAUAUGGGUGGUUGGUGAGUUUCGGCGGUGGGGGAUGUACUCGCGGGUUAUCAGCUCGCUGGUGAAGUAGGGGCUUACCAAGGUUUUGACGGGUAGCCGACCUGAGAGGUUGACCGGGGACAAUGGGACUGAGAGAGGGACCAGAAUGCAACGGGAGGCAACAGUGGAGAGUAUUACACAAUGAGGCGAAGCCUGAUGCAGAAACGCCGCGUGCGGAAUAACGGCCUUCUAGUUGUGAACCGCUUUCGCAGGUAACGAAGCGUGAGUGACGGUAAUGAAUAAGGAAGCACCGGCUAACUACGUG
rnacentral:rRNA from 1 species